rnacentral:lncRNA from 1 species
CCUGCUGAGGUCAGAAGGGGCUGGUGGAUCCUCUGGAACCAGAGUUAAGAUGGUGGUAAGCAUGUGGGUGCUGGGAAUCAAACCCAAGAGCAAUGACUGCUCUAAACGGCUGAGCCGCCUUUGAGCCUUUGGAGAAUGUCCUUACAUUCAAGUAAGAUGGUUUUCUUAAUAACUGCUCAUGGAUUUUUUUUUACAUGUCUUCAUAAGAACAUUCUAAUUGUGGCACACACCUUUAAUCCCAGCACUCGUGAAACAGAGGCAGGUGGAUGUCUGAGUUCAAGGACAGCCUGGUCUACAGAGUGAGUUCCAGGACAGCCAGGGCUACACAGAGAAACUCUCUCUCUCAAAAAAAAAAAAAAAAGCAAAACAACAACAACAACAAAAACAACUAAAAAAUGUUAUAAUUGAUAUAAAAACGUUUGUAAAUAUUAAGCAGAACAAAGAAUGAAACGGUGCCACUGGCAAGAACACACACAGUGCUACGUAGGGAGCACCAUACCAAGUGAAAGAGACUUCUCUCAGAAAGACUUUGCUUACUCUAAAGGGAAAGAGGACGAUGCAAGGAAGGAGAGAGGCCUCCAGACACCCAAGUCUCAAAGCAGAUGUUACAUAGAUACCUGUUGUUGCCUCAUACUGCACGUGAUGUUCAGGAGAUGUUCAAAGUCUGUAGUGACUGGACACAUUAACCUUUAGCCAACUUGCAAAUGUUUUAAAACAGUUUAAAGGAUGCUGCCAAGCAACAGACUGGCUUGACAGACUGAAAAAAAAAAUUUAGAAAGAAAAAUAACUUCUGUCUUUAAACACGUUCUUUUUCUUGUUCCUAUUCUUAGGUAUAAUCUGUUGCUGUUCCUAUGAGGGAAAAGUAGAUCAGCACAGUAGAGAAGUGAGAAGAGCACGGAGAACACCGAGGUCCCACUAGUUCCAGGUGGAGGACUCUAACCGGUACACUGUAG